rnacentral:rRNA from 1 species
CCUACGGGUGGCAGCAGUCGAGAAUCAUUCACAAUGGGGGAAACCCUGAUGGUGCGACGCCGCGUGGGGGAAUGAAGGUCUUCGGAUUGUAAACCCCUGUCAUGUGGGAGCAAAUUAAAAAGAUAGUACCACAAGAGGAAGAGACGGCUAACUCUGUGCCAGCAGCCGCGGUAAUACAGAGGUCUCAAGCGUUGUUCGGAAUCACUGGGCGUAAAGCGUGCGUAGGCUGUUUCGUAAGUCGUGUGUGAAAGGCGCGGGCUCAACCCGCGGACGGCAGAUGAUACUGCGAGACUAGAGUACUGGAGGGGGAACCGGAAUUCUCGGUGUAGCAGUGAAAUGCGUAGAUAUCGAGAGGAACUCUCGUGGCGAAGGCGGGUUCCUGGACAUUAACUGACGCUGAGGCACGAAGGCCAGGGGAGCGAAAGGGAUUAGAUACCCCUGUAGUC